ACCGGCAGACGGGUGAGUAACGCGUAUGUAACCUGCCCUGUACAGGGGGAUAACCCGGAGAAAUUCGGACUAAUAUCCCAUGGUAAUAUUGAAAGGCAUCUUUUAAUAUUUAAAGUUCCGGCGGUACAGGAGGGGCAUGCGUAACAUUAGCUGGUUGGUAAGGUAACGGCUUACCAAGGCGAUGAUGUUUAGGGGUCCUGAGAGGGUGAUCCCCCACACUGGUACUGAGACACGGACCAGACUCCUACGGGAGGCAGCAGUGAGGAAUAUUGGUCAAUGGGCGCAAGCCUGAACCAGCCAUCCCGCGUGCAGGAAGACGGCCCUACGGGUUGUAAACUGCUUUUCCAGGCAGAGAAACUUACGUACGCGUUGCGUAACUGACGGUAACCUGGGAAUAAGCGUCGGCUAACUCCGUGCCAGCAGCCGCGGUAAUACGGAGGAUGCAAGCGUUAUCCGGAUUUAUUGGGUUUAAAGGGUGCGUAGGCGGACUA
rnacentral:rRNA from 1 species